rnacentral:rRNA from 1 species
UUGACCUCAAAUCGGUGAGACUACCCGCUGAACUUAAGCAUAU